rnacentral:rRNA from 1 species
UACGGGGGGAGCAAGCGUUGUUCGGAUUUACUGGGCGUAAAGGGCGCGUAGGCGGCCACCGCAAGUCGACUGUGAAAUCUCCGGGCUUAACUCGGAAAGGUCAGCCGAUACUGCGGGGCUAGAGUGCAGAAGGGGCAACUGGAAUUCUCGGUGUAGCGGUGAAAUGCGUAGAUAUCGAGAGGAACACCUGCGGCGAAGGCGGGUUGCUGGGCUGACACUGACGCUGAAGCGCGAAAGCGUGGGGAGCGAACAGG